GCAAGUCGAACGAGAACCCUUGGAUUCGUCUGAGGGGGAGAGUGGCGAACGGGUGAGUAACACGUAGGUGACCUGCCCCGAAGAGGGGGAUAACCGCUGGAAACGGUGGCUAAUACCCCAUGUAAUCUAUUGUUCGGUCGAUAGAUUAAAGCUCGGCGCUUCGGGAGGGGCCUGCGGCCCAUCAGGUAGUUGGUAGGGUAAUGGCCUACCAAGCCGAUGACGGGUAGGGGGCGUGAGAGCGUGAUC
rnacentral:rRNA from 1 species